AUUGAACGCUGGCGGCAGGCCUAACACAUGCAAGUCGAACGGUAACAGGAAACAGCUUGCUGUUUCGCUGACGAGUGGCGGACGGGUGAGUAAUGUCUGGGAAACUUCCUGAUGGAGGGGGAUAACUACUGGAAACGGUAGCUAAUACCGCAUAACGUCGCAAGACCAAAGAGGGGGACCCUCGGGCCUCUUGCCAUCGGAUGUGCCCAGAUGGGAUUAGCUUGUUGGUGGGGUAACGGCUCACCAAGGCGACGAUCCCUAGCUGGUCUUAGAGGAUGACCAGCCACACUAGAACUGAGACACGGUCCAGACUCCUACGGGAGGCAGCAGUGGGGAAUAUUGCACAAUGGGCGCAAGCCUGAUGCAGCCAUGCCGCGUGUAUGAAGAAGGCCUUCGGGUUGUAAAGUACUUUCAGCGGGGAGGAAGGGAGUAAAGUUAAUACCUUUGCUCAUUGACGUUACCCGCAGAAGAAGCACCGGCUAACUCCGUG
rnacentral:rRNA from 1 species